rnacentral:sRNA from 1 species
CCCCAGCUAAUCUUGCCUAUAAGAUUAAAGUAAAGGUUAAAAAGAUGGGUUCCAUUUUUCUUCUCAUGAGGUCUCUUUUAAUGUGUCCUAUCAAAGGCCUCAGCACUGUCUCUUCUGAAUAAAAUAUAGAUCUCUUUGGGGAUAGAGGAAUUAAGGACUUCUCUAUAUACACAAGGCGCCAGUUGGGUUGAACAGGCCCACCAUGCCUGUUCUGGGGGAAUAAUUUAUUUAGAAUGAACUGUGGGAAUGGUCUGAUGUAGAGGUGUUGGUGUGACACAGGGAUUUUCCCCAGAUGAUAUCUUGCCCUGAUAUGGUCUGUAGAGUUAAGGCUGGACCUUUUGUGACCAUCUAUAUGCAGUAUCUUUUUUAGAUACAUUAUAUCUAGCUAUUAACCCAAUGUCUUUAUAAAAGGGGGGUCUAGCAUUAUAACCAACAAAAGGUGGUAAGUUCUGGAUUGGAGACAUUUAGAAUUUGCAAGGUCUUUAACAUCAUUGACCAGAGGGGACCCACUGGUACUGAGUGUUUUUGGAAAAUUCUGGAACUGAGGUUCUCUGUGAUGAUGACUGGGGUAAUUCUAGAGGAUGGUGUUAACACAAGUUUAGAGUUUGUCAAAACCUGAUUUAGGCCUAUAGCUGCUGGCAGUGGGUUUACAAUUGGCCUUACCAAGAUUCUAAGUGUAAAGAGCAAGCCAGGAUUGCUGUCUCUAAUAAUGUGAAGCCAAGAGUCCCACAACUUCCCAGCUUUCCAUCUUUUAGCAUGUUUUCCUUUGUCAGUGAAUCUGAGUAAAACUUUGGAAUUGUUUCUUUGCUGGGCAACUAUGGUAAGUUCUUACAUAGCUGUGUUGUUUUAGAAGAUACCUUAUAUCUCAUGUCCCCCAGAGCUUGUAGGAGAUUUUGAGUCCCUGUCUGGCAACUCUCUUUAGUUUUUUCUAUAACCAAAAGGUCACCUAAGUACUGUAGAAGAGUUAUGUCUGGGUUAUUAGCCUAGUACUAACCCAAAUGUUUAUGUGAAGCUUCCUCAAAAAUACUGGGUGAAGUUUUAUAAAGCCUUGGGGCAAGUGGGUCCAGGUGAGUGGUCCAUUAAUGUCUCUUUUGGGAUCACGUCAUUCAAAGGCAAAAUACUUUUGACUUUUAGGAGCCAAGAGUAUGCUUAAAAGGGCAUCUUUUAGGUCAAGAACAGAAUACCACUUCCUAUCUGGCAGCAACAAGCUUAGUAAAGUAUAAGGAUUAGGCACUGUGGGGUUUAUGUCCAUCACCCUGUAAUUAACUUCCCAUAUAUCUUGGGCAGGGUUGAUAGUUAUUGUUAUUUAACUUCUUUAUUGACAAUAAUGGAGUAUUCUAGGCUGAUUGACAUGGCCUGAGGACUCUUAGGGUCAGCAGUUCUCAAAUAUGGAUGGGGAGGGUGAUCCCCUUCCAUGUCUGUUGAGACAUGGGCUAUUGGUAGACUCAUGCUGGGUUCAUCCCUGAUCUAAUUUCUACAAACAUAGGGGGUCAAUGUUUUGCCAAGCCCAUGUCUCUAGUCUCUGCCCAUGACUGGGGAAAACUUUUUCAACCAAACAUCUAAAUCUUGUUCAAGGGCGGUUGGUGACUCAUAUAGUCUAUAUUCAGUCUCAGAAGCCAAGGUAAAUGUCAGGACCUAGAUCAGAUUACUGUCCUGAUCCAAUAACUGGACUUCCCCAGGUUUAAAAUUAAUUUGGGCCCUCAGUUUUGCUAGGGGAUCCCUCUCCAGUAACUGGUAGAGGCACUGUGGAAUGACCAUGAAUGAAUGGGUUACCAGUUCCAUUUCUAAGUCCACUGUUCUUUGGAUAGUUCAUAAAUAUUUUUGGUGCCUGUGGCUUCCUGGACCCAAAACUUCUUGAAAGACAAUGGCCCUUCAGCAUUUAAGAGCACUGAAUGGUGAGGUCUAGUAUCUACCAGGAAGUUUAGAGAUUCCCCUCUGUUCUAAGGAUUACCCUGAGUUUGGUUAGGGGUACAAACCCUGACUCUCUCAAUCAUUUUCUUCUUUUGUGACCAUGGUCUUAACCUUUGGCUUUCUCGUUGGGCACUCUUUAGCCCAAUGUAUUUCCUCUUUACAAUAGGUGCAUUGGCUCUUACCUAAUGUUGGUCGAUGGCCUCCUUUAGGCUCCUUCCCUUAGCAAUACACCAGAGCUGGUGCUUCCUCUCUCUCAAGUCCAGAAUAUUAUUGGCCAUAAGGACUUUGGCCAAAUUUCUGUUCAAUAUCUUUUGGUCUUAAUCUUUUUUUUUUAAUCUUUGGUUUCUCUAUUUUGAUUACAUCUUCUCUGAAACCUCCACUAAAUCUCUCUAUGACUUUUCUGGUGUGGACUGAUGGAUAAACACCAGUGCUAGUGUGACAGAAUUUUCCAUCUCCUUAGACUCUAAGUACCUAAGUGCAUAUAAAGGUGAAAAGCAUCCAUAAUUUGCUCAAGAAAUACUAUUGAGUCUUCAUUACUCUCUUGCCUGACAUCAUAAGUCUUGGACAAAUUUGUGAUCACCAAGUGGCUGCCCUGAGACCUGCCAUUAGAGUCUGGUGGUAGACUCAAAGAUGCUCCCUACCUUCACCCAUAUUGUAGUCCCAGGGAGGUCUCCUGAGGGGAACUUCAUCAUCAAUGUCAGCAGGAUUCUGGGUUGGAAUGUUAUUAGCUCACAGAAUGUUCUUUCAGGCCACCAAAAUGAUGUGUUCUGUCCCUCAGUGGAGACUUGAUCAGGGUGAUCCUGGCCCUUUUGAAACUCUUUGUCUUCUACCACUAACACCAUGACGAAAUAUCAACAUCAAAAGUAAGCCAAGUUACAACAUGCUCCUAACAGCUCUCCUUUGGUGGAUUCAAAGAAGAAAUUGAACAUCUCCACCUCCAGGUGAGGUGAUAUAUUGUGAUGAGACAACCACUAGGCAAGAAUUGUCUCAGUUCAUCUAUAGAUUAAAUACUGUCCAGAAAAGGACACAUUGCAUAAUAGUCAACUCAUAA